rnacentral:lncRNA from 1 species
CAUAUUUUCCGUAUGUAAAGUGACCUCAGUGUGACCCAUCUCGUAAAAAUCCGGUGAUCACAAUACGCAUAUAUGUCCUUAAAAUAAACUAUUAUCAGAAUUUACAUGUUAAACACGUGCUCAAUUUCUAUGCUUUUUUGUUGAUUUUUUGUCGAUUGUUGACAAACAGGUGACAAUCGUUAAACUUCGGCUUCAAAACACGAACUUUAAUUACCUGCCAUAUUUUCACAACAACACUGACCGA